rnacentral:rRNA from 1 species
AACGAACGCUGGCGGCAGGCCUAACACAUGCAAGUCGAGCGGACCCUUCGGGGUUAGCGGCGGACGGGUGAGUAACGCGUGGGAAUAUGCCCUUCUCUGCGGAAUAGCCUCGGGAAACUGAGAGUAAUACCGCAUACGCCCUUUGGGGGAAAGAUUUAUCGGGGAAGGAUUAGCCCGCGUUGGACUAGGUAGUUGGUGGGGUAAUGGCCUACCAAGCCGACGAUCCAUAGCUGGUUUGAGAGGAUGAUCAGCCACACUGGGACUGAGACACGGCCCAGACUCCUACGGGAGGCAGCAGUGGGGAAUCUUAGACAAUGGGGGCAACCCUGAUCUAGCCAUGCCGCGUGAGUGAUGAAGGCCUUAGGGUUGUAAAGCUCUUUCAGCUGGGAAGAUAAUGACGGUACCAGCAGAAGAAGCCCCGGCUAACUCCGUGCCAGCCGCCGCAGUAA